rnacentral:rRNA from 1 species
UACGAAGGGUGCAAGCGUUACUCGGAAUUACUGGGCGUAAAGCGUGCGUAGGCGGUUUGUUAAGUCCGUUGUGAAAGCCCUGGGCUCAACCUGGGAAUUGCAGUGGAUACUGGCGAGCUAGAGUGCGGUAGAGGAUGGUGGAAUUCCCGGUGUAGCGGUGAAAUGCGUAGAGAUCGGGAGGAACACCCGUGGCGGAAGCGGCCACCUAGCCCGCACCUGACGCUGAGGCGCGACAGCGUGGGGAGCGAACGGG